rnacentral:lncRNA from 1 species
AGGACAGUACUGCUUUUAAAGAGACAGUGUUAGGGAUCUUGGAAGCACAGCCAACAUGUGUGACAUUGAAGAAGCCACUAACCAACUCCUAGAUGUGAACCUUCAUGAGAACCAGAAGUCUGUACAAGUGACAGAAAGUGACCUCGGAAGUGAAUCUGAGCUUCUAGUCACUAUUGGAGCCACUGUACCUACUGGCUUUGAGCAAACAGCUGCAGAUGAAGUCAGAGAGAAACUUGGGUCAUCAUGCAAAAUCAGCAGAGACCGUGGCAAGAUAUAUUUUGUCAUUUCAGUGGAAAGUCUGGCACAGGUUUGAAUGGAGCAAUAUUUAAAAUAGUUUUCUAAGUUGAUCAUUUUAUGGUUACUUUUCAUUUUAUAGACCCUUCUGGAAUCCUUUCUGAUUUUCAUUGCUCUGCCCCAAAUCAGGUUCAUUGUCUGAGAUCAGUUGAUAACUUAUUUGUGGUGGUUCAGGAGUUUCAAGAUUACCAGUUCAAACAAACAAAGGAAGAAGUUCUAAAGGAUUUUGAAGACUUGGCUGGAAAACUCCCAUGGUCAAACCCCUUAAAAGUGUGGAAAAUUAAUGCCAGUUUUAAAAAGAAAAAAGCAAAGCGC